GUGAAAUAGAACCUGAAACCGCAUGCUUACAAAAAGUCGGAGCCUCUUUAAGGGGUGACGGCGUACCUUUUGUAUAAUGGGUCAGCGACUUACAUUCAGUGGCAAGCUUAACCGAGUAGGGAAGGCGCAGGGAAACCGAGUCCGAACAGGGCGAUUUCAGUCGCUGGGUGUAGACCCGAAACCAGGUGAUCUACCCAUGUCCAGGGUGAAGGUAGGGUAAUACCUACUGGAGGCCCGAACCCACGCACGUUGAAAAGUGCGGGGAUGAGGUGUGGGUAGGGGUGAAAUGCCAAUCGAACUUGGAGAUAGCUGGUUCUCCCCGAAAUCUAUUUAGGUAGAGCCUCGGACGAAUACUUACGGGGGUAGAGCACUGUUAAGGCUAGGGGGUCAUCCCGACUUACCAACCCUUUGCAAACUCCGAAUACCGUAAAGUAAUAUC
rnacentral:rRNA from 1 species